rnacentral:rRNA from 1 species
GUAGGUGGCAAGCGUUGUCCGGAAUUAUUGGGCGUAAAGCGCGCGCAGGCGGUCCUUUAAGUCUGAUGUGAAAGCCCACGGCUCAACCGUGGAGGGUCAUUGGAAACUGGGGGACUUGAGUACAGAAGAGGAAAGCGGAAUUCCAAGUGUAGCGGUGAAAUGCGUAGAGAUUUGGAGGAACACCAGUGGCGAAGGCGGCUUUCUGGUCUGUAACUGACGCUGAGGCGCGAAAGCGUGGGGAGCAAACAGGGAUUAGAUACCCUGGUAGUCCACGCCGUAGACGAUGAGUGCUAAGUGUUAGGGGGGGUUUCCGCCCCCUUAGUGCUGCAGCUAACGCAUUAAGCACUCCGCCUGGGGAUACGGCCGCAAGGCUG